rnacentral:tRNA from 4 species
GGGCGCGUAGCUCAGCGGGAGAGCAUCACGUUGACAUCGUGAGGGUCACAGGUUCGAUCCCUGUCGCGCCCACCA